CAGGUCUCCAAGGUGAACAGCCUCUGGU
rnacentral:snRNA from 1 species